UUAUUGCUGAUCAUUGUUCCAGUUGUAAUAUUUUGUGUAUUUGUUGUGAGGCACCUUCGCCAUGAAUUUUCACCAUACAAUGCUGGAUAUGCAAUUCUGGUGGUAGCUAUUGUCUUCACUAUCUAUGUGUUGGUUCUUCUUUUUCUCACAUCAGCCCGAGACCCUGGUAUUAUCCCACGUAAUUCACAUCCACCAGAGGAAGAGUUCCGAUAUGAUUCUUCAGUGUCAGUUGAGGUUGGGGGAAGA
rnacentral:misc_RNA from 1 species